GGGAAACGGAUGGAAGGGCCAGUCCCAGGCCCUGACAAAGUAGAUUUUUGGGGUA
rfam:Neotoma lepida isolate 417 scaffold_2421, whole genome shotgun sequence.